UGGCUCUCGCAUCGAUGAAGAACGCAGCGAAAUGCGAUAAGUAAUGUGAAUUGCAGAAUUCAGUGAAUCAUCGAAUCUUUGAACGCACCUUGCGCUCCUUGGUAUUCCGAGGAGCAUGCCUGUUUGAGUGUCAUGAAAUCAUCACAAAAGCCUUCCUUUUCGGAGGAGGUUUGAGUGGACUUGGGGGUUUGUGCCGCUGCAUCUUUGCUUUGGCUCCCCUUCAAAUGCAUUAGCUGGCUGAGGGCAAAGUUGGCUCUACAAGGUGUGAUAAUUGUCUACGCCUGUUGUCGACGUGCUUUCUGGCUGCUACCAAUCGUCUUCGGACAAAUUUCUUAUGCUCUGGCCUCAAAUCAGGUAGGACUACCCGCUGA
rnacentral:misc_RNA from 1 species